rnacentral:sRNA from 1 species
UUGAUACAUGAUUCAGAGGUCUUCCGUC